AGCAUGUGCGCGAGUCAUUGGGACAAACCUAAAGGCGUAAUGAAAGUGAAGGUCCGCCCCGGACCGAGGGAGGAUGGGCCCGCCCUCGGGCCCCGCACUCCCGGGGCGUCUCGUUCUCAUCGCGAGAGGAGGCGCACCCAGAGCGUACACGCUGGGACCCGAAAGAUGGUGAACUAUGCCUGGUCAGGACGAAGUCAGGGGAAACCCUGAUGGAGGUCCGUAGCGAUUCUGACGUGCAAAUCGAUCGUCGGAACUGGGUAUAGGGGCGAAAGACUAAUCGAACCAUCUAGUAGCUGGUUCCCUCCGAAGUUUCCCUCAGGAUAGCUGGCGCUCGCCGCGCGCGAGUCUCAUCCGGUAAAGCGAAUGAUUAGAGGCAUUGGGGUCGAAACGGCCUCAACCUAUUCUCAAACUUUAAAUGGGUGAGAUCUCCGGCUUGCUCGAACCGUGAAGCCGCGAGAUUUCGGAUCAGAGUGCCAAGUGGGCCACUUUUG
rnacentral:rRNA from 2 species